rnacentral:snRNA from 1 species
GUAGUUUCAGAACUCCUAUCCACUACCACUGAGAAAAGUACAUCUAAUAAAAUUGGAAUGAUAGAUUAGCAUGGUCCUUGCACAAGGAUGACAUGGAAUACUUGUUUUUUGUUCUU